rnacentral:lncRNA from 1 species
ACAAGUUCAAGAAUUGUCAGGGAAAUGGACAAACGAACUGUGAAGGAUAUUUCUCCAUCUGCUGGUGAGCAUGGUGACUGUACUACUCACAGCACUGCUGCCACAUCAGGAUUAUCUCUGCAAUCUGACACCUGCCUGGCAGUGGUUAAUGACGUGCCUCUACCCCCUGGCAAAGGUCUUGACCUUGGGUUGCUGGAGACUCAGCUGCUGGCCUCCCAGGAUUCAGUCUCAACAGAUCCCAAACCAUGCAUCUUCUCAGAUGCUCAAAGGCCUUCUUCCUUUGGGUCCAAGGGAACUUUUCCCCCCAUGACAUUGCUACCUCUGUGGCUGCCGUUUGUAUUUCUCUGCCAGUGAGAACAGAUCACAUAGCCCAGGAAAUUCACAGUGCUGAACCACGAGACCACAGCCAGACUGCAGGGAGGACUCUGACAUCAAGCUCCCCAGACAGCAAAGUCACAGAAGAGGGCAGAGCACAGACCCUCUUGCCAGGGAGACCUUCAUCUGGACAAAGAAUUUCAGAUUCGGUUCCACUGGAGUCAACUGAAAAAACUCAUCUUGAAACACCAGCUUCAGGACCAAGUUCAGCUAGUUCACACCACAAGGAAGGGAGACACAAGAUGUUUUUUCCUUCCAGAGGCCAGUAUGGGUGUGGGGAAAUGACUGUCCCCUGCCCCUCUUUAGGAAGUGACGGUAGGAAACGUCAGGUAUCUGGAUUAAUCACUCGGAAAGAUUCUGUGGUUCCUUCUAAGCCAGAGCAGCCCAUAGAAAUUCCUGAAGCCCCUUCUAAAUCCCUCAAGAAGAGGAGUCUGGAAGGAAUGAGAAAGCAAACUCGAGUAGAGUUCAGUGACACCAGCAGCGACGAUGAAGACCGAUUAGUUAUAGAAAUAUGAAGCUUCCAGAGAAACAUGGUAUCUUUGGUCAAAAAGACUGUUGACGCUUCACAAGUAAAUGUUGUCAGGCUGGCGGAAGAACUAAACUCUAUCUGUGAAACACCUACAGAUUAGGAAAGCCAUUUUGAGUUAUUUACAAGCCAACUCCAACCAACUUCUGACCCCCAACUCAGCCGCAGCGUUCUCCAGCUCCCCUUGGGAGUGCUCUGCUCAUCUUCAAAUGGUGCCAGGCAGGGCAGACAUGGCAAGGAAGCAAACUCUGCAAAUGGUCAACGUGCACAGUGACUGGGCCUUGACUCCCAGCCUCGUCUUCUGCACCUGUCCCCCACUGCCUCUCUGCAAUCAAAUGGCACUAACCAAGAAAGCCACCAUCAACACAUUUCUCCACAAGUGGACCCCACACAGUCGAGGCAACUGGCUUUCUCCAUUAGUAAACUGAGGGUUUGCUUCCAAGGUGGAGAGCACACUUGGGAUAAUUGGAGUAGCUUGACAAAGAGACGGGGGGUGUGAACUGGGCACAAAGAUACUUCUGUUCAUUUUGGAGACAAAAUUCAGAUACAUUAAAAAACUGAAGCUUGUUCAGAGUAAUUCACGUCCUUAGUGGAGUUGUAAAUACACUUCAAAAUGCCUAUGAUCCGGUGAUAUGCUGAUUACUUUUAAAUGUUGCACAAAUGGUCAAUACUUAUUUAUGGUCAGAUGAUGCAAGCACAUGCUCUUGUGCCUGGUGCGUUUGCUGUGGAGAUCUCCGAGACUG